UUUGCUGACCCCAGCAGUAGAGCAUGAGACUUUUAAUCUCAGGGUCAUGUGUUCAAGCCCCAUGUUGGGCAAAA